rnacentral:lncRNA from 1 species
GAAUCAAGUUCUUCGAUACUGGCGGUGCCCCCGGGAUUUGAUCGACCCUAGAGUUAUAAGUUUCCAUUUUCUUAUCAUUUUUCUCGAUCUUUUUUUCCCCUGUCGCAAUUCGCUUCGUUAGUUCCUCGAGCAUUUUUAUGACAGUAGGAUUGGUCUUCGAUUCUCCUCCAUUCGAUCUCUUCACCACCGAUUUGGCUCUAUGAGCAAUUUCUUGUGAUGGAUCG